GCGCAGUUUAUUUAUAAAGUGCAACAAGAACCUACACGCGGAUGACAUCAAAGUACUGCGAGAGCGACUCGAAAGAUCAUGGACAGCAUUCUGAUUUCAAAUCACUCUCGCGGUAUUUUAAUGUCAUCCGUUUCUCAGUUCCUGCAACUCAGCAUUACGUUGAACACUUUGUCAAAAAUGAUUGAGAUGGCCAAUCAAAUCAAAAAAGGCGAGUGCCACUGGCCAAUCACAUAACAGAAGACGAGCUUUCCUGUUAACGGAAGCCGAGCGGCGGCCAAUCAAAUUAACCGAUAGGCGGGGUUACCGUCGCAGUAGCAGUUACACCGCGUCAAUCAAUCAUAACGGACACAGAGAUUUCAAAGGCAGCAGGAUGAAAGAUGUGUGUCUGUGUUCAUCAAGACAUGAAGACUCUGGAGUGGGACAAGAGAAGGAUGGUGGGGUGUAUAUUCAAAUAGACACAUUAAGUCACAUUGUGAUUUCAGUGAAAGCUGAUAAAUACAGAGGGCUGGACAGUGGUUUCAUUCAUUAGGUAAAGAGGUGGGACAAUGAUGCUGACAGGACAGGAGGAGGUGACAUUCAGGUUAGUGACAGUACAUCAGGGCCACCAUUUAAUUUAAUGUUAAUUUAAUUGCUUCCAAAAUCAAUACUUGACAAAUCUUUAGAAUUAUAUCUGCAAAGCUGAAUUUCUCAUAGGUGGAUAAAGUAUGACAGCAAUUGUGAAGACCUUAGACGUGCAGUAUAUGGUUCUUCUCUCUUUCAUUUAUAUUGAUUUGACUUAAUUUUCUUGGUAACUAAUAAUGGGGAUAUUCCUAAUAUAAUAUAUUUUAAAUACAUGCUUAGAACAUAUCUCAUUUGCUUUGUAUCUAAAUGAAAAGUACCUCUUUAAGGUCUAAGCUAUGUUUCAUUUUAUUUAGACAUUCAACGCAGACAUUUUCAUCCAAAGCAACUUGAGGAAGAAAACAGAAGCAGUUCAUCCUAAAAGUGGGCUGCUGUAAUGUUUACAUCUAUGGAAAGAGGAGCUGAGAAGAAAAGAGAGGCUGGAAAGCAGUACUUCUUGUUGAGGACAAUCCUGAAUAGGAACACUUUCUCAUACACAGAUUAUUAUUAGUGUUUGAUUGUUUGUUUCAUUUUUAUGAAUUGUAUUGUUUUAAUUUUUCGUUUUAUUUGAAAUUACCUAAGUUAGAUUCAUGCUAAUACUUUAACUGGACCUUGUAUCUUUGCUGGCUGGCUGGCUGUAGAGUUGGUUUCACAUACACAUGAAGUUUCUAAUUAACUAACUUUUAAGUUCAGUUUGGUUUAAACUUGUAUUUACCCAUG